UUUUGUACACGAAGUUGAUAUAGUGUCACUGGGUAGGAGAAAGUUCAGCACAGAUUUUCAGACUGCUAAAGGCGUUGAUGUUCUUUGGAUUUAUAGUGACGCAUUGAUUGAUGAAUGGAGAAUACACAAGAAGCAAGUUAUGGCUUCAUGACCUUGCUG